rnacentral:tRNA from 1 species
AAGGGUAGAGCUCAGGGUAGAGUGCAUGCCUAGCUAAGCACGAGGUCCUGGGUUCAAUCCCCAGUACCUCCA